AAUGUAACUACAUGCAUGAAGUUUUUGUAUUAUAUAAAGUGACAAAAUAGUUUGUUGUUUCUUACAUAAGCAAAAGAAAGAAACAAUGACUAUAAUUCUCAAACUUGUGUAUGCUAUGAUUCUCUUGAUUUUCCUAUUUCAUUUUAUAACUGACACUGUUGCUACUGAUUGUUCUUCUGCCCUCAAUUGUACACACACUCCGUGUAUGGCACCUACACUGCCAAUGUGUUUGCAGGAUAGCUGUGUAUGCGUUUAACAGGGAAGCAGAAGUGGUUUACAUUGCUGGGUGGCUUGAAUCCUUUCAAUUUGUUUUAAAUUUUUGUUCCAUUUAGUUUGAGAUGCUCAUCUUUUGUUUUGUGUCCUUUCUAAUUUUGCAUGUCCAUGUACUUCAAUUUUUGGAACAUAUAGUGUCGUCUUUGUAAUAUUUUCUUUCA